GACGAACGCUGGCGGCGUGCUUAACACAUGCAAGUCGAGCGGAAAGGCUCCUUCGGGGGUACUCGAGCGGCGAACGGGUGAGUAACACGUGAGUAAUCUGCCCUGCGCUCUGGGAUAGCCACCGGAAACGGUGAUUAAUUCCGGAUAUGACCGCUACACGCAUGUGUUGGUGGUGGAAAGUUUUUCGGCGCAGGAUGUGCUCGCGGCCUAUCAGCUUGUUGGUGAGGUAAUGGCUCACCAAGGCUUUGACGGGUAGCCGGCCUGAGAGGGUGACCGGUCACACUGGGACUGAGACACGGCCCAGACUCCUACGGGAGGCAGCAGUGGGGAAUAUUGGACAAUGGGCGGAAGCCUGAUCCAGCAACGCCGCGUGAGGGAUGACGGCCUUCGGGUUGUAAACCUCUUUCAGUACCGACGAAGCGAAAGUGACGGUAGGUACAGAAGAAGGACCGGCCAACUACGUGCCAGCAGCCGCCGUAAUAC
rnacentral:rRNA from 1 species